UGGGGAAUAUUGCACAAUGGGCGAAAGCCUGAUGCAGCAACGCCGCGUGAGUGAUGAAGGCCUUCGGGUUGUAAAGCUCUGUCUUUUGGGACGAUAAUGACGGUACCAAAGGAGGAAGCCACGGCUAACUACGUGCCAGCAGCCGCGGUAAUACGUAGGUGGCAAGCGUUGUCCGGAAUUACUGGGCGUAAAGAAUGCGUAGGUGGAUAUGCAAGUCAGAUGUGAAAUACCCGGGCUCAACUUGGGUGCUGCAUUUGAAACUAUAUAGCUAGAGUGCAGGAGAGGAAAGCGGAAUUCCUAGUGUAGCGGUGAAAUGCGUAGAGAUUAGGAAGAACACCAGUGGCGAAGGCGGCUUUCUGGACUGUAACUGACACUGAGGCAUGAAAGCGUGGGGAGCAAACA
rnacentral:rRNA from 1 species